rnacentral:rRNA from 1 species
CCUACGGGUGGCAGCAGUGGGGAAUAUUGCGCAAUGGGCGAAAGCCUGACGCAGCGACGCCGCGUGAGGGAUGAAGGUCUUCGGAUCGUAAACCUCUGUCAGCAGGGAAGAACGGUCACUGUGCUAAUCAGCAGUGAAUUGACGGUACCUGACUAAGAAGCCCCGGCUAACUACGUGCCAGCAGCCGCGGUAAUACGUAGGGGGCAAGCGUUAUCCGGAUUUACUGGGUGUAAAGGGAGCGUAGACGGUCCUGCAAGCCAGAUGUGAAAGCCCGGGGCUCAACCCCGGGACUGCAUUUGGAACUGUAAGGCUAGAGUGUCGGAGAGGCAGGCGGAAUUCCUAGUGUAGCGGUGAAAUGCGUAGAUAUUAGGAGGAACACCAGUGGCGAAGGCGGCCUGCUGGACGAUGACUGACGUUGAGGCUCGAAAGCGUGGGGAGCAAACAGGAUUAGAUACCCCGGUAGUC